rnacentral:rRNA from 1 species
CACGUAGUUAGCCGGUGCUUAUUCUUACGGUACCGUCAUGACCCGGGGAUAUUAGCCCCAGGCUUUUCGUUCCGUACAAAAGCAGUUUACAACCCGAGGGCCUUCAUCCUGCACGCGGCAUUGCUGGAUCAGGCCUUCGCCCAUUGUCCAAAAUUCCCCACUGCUGCCUCCCGUAGGAGUCUGGGCCGUGUCUCAGUCCCAGUGUGGCUGGUCGUCCUCUCAGACCAGCUACAGAUCGCAGGCUUGGUAAGCCUUUACCCCACCAACUACCUAAUCUGCCAUCAGCCGCUCUAGUAGCACAAGGCCCGAAGGUCCCCUGCUUUCAUCCGUAGAUCUCAUGCGGUAUUAGCUACUCUUUCGAGUAGUUAUCCCCCACUACUAGGCACGUUCCGAUGUAUUACUCACCCGUUCGCCACUCGUCAGCAUCCGAAGACCUGUUACCGUGUACUGUCAUGUGUAAGAACGCUGCGCCGCGCGUCUACUACUCAGCGACGAGUACACUA